rnacentral:rRNA from 1 species
GACGAACGCUGGCGGCGUGCCUAAUACAUGCAAGUUGAGCGCUGAAGGUUGGUACUUGUACCAACUGGAUGAGCAGCGAACGGGUGAGUAACGCGUGGGGAAUCUGCCUUUGAGCGGGGGACAACAUUUGGAAACGAAUGCUAAUACCGCAUAAAAACUUUAAACACAAGUUUUAAGUUUGAAAGAUGCAAUUGCAUCACUCAAAGAUGAUCCCGCGUUGUAUUAGCUAGUUGGUGAGGUAAAGGCUCACCAAGGCGAUGAUACAUAGCCGACCUGAGAGGGUGAUCGGCCACAUUGGGACUGGGACACGGCCCAAACUCCUACGGGAGGCAGCAGUAGGGAAUCUUCGGCAAUGGACGAAAGUCUGACCGAGCAACGCCGCGUGAGUGAAGAAGGAUGUCGGAUCGUAAAACUCUGUUGGUAGAGAAGAACGUUGGUGAGAGUGGAAAGCUCAUCAAGUGACGGUAACUACCCAGAAAGGGACGGCUAACUACGUG